rnacentral:lncRNA from 1 species
UACUAUGUGCCCAGGCCUGUUCUAGAUGCUGAGUGGGGGAGGGGAGGGAUGAAGAGUGGGAGAACACUAAAGAGUAGAGGUGAAACCUCUUUGAACCUCAAUUUACACAUCCCUAAAGUGGGGAUGCCAACAUAUGGCCCUCCUCAUGGGGUCGUUGUGAGAAUUAAAAUAAAUAAUUCAUGUAGGCCGGGUGCAGUGGCUCACACCUGUCAUCCCAGCACUCUGGGAGGUCGAAGUGGGUGGAUCGCUUGAGCCCAGGAGUUUGAGACCAGCCUGACCAACAUGGUGAAACCCCUGAGGGCAGUGAGCUGGAGGAAGGGAUGCUGAUGGGCGAGGAGUUCCAGAGGGUCACCUGCCACUCAGUUCCAGCCUAGGUCUCCUGAUUUUUCCAGAGAAACUGGAAAUCCAGAUUUGUAUGUAAAAGAUUCUCAAAUUUAAGUGCCAACAGCGAACUCAAAAUUCAAAACAAAAGCACACAGCAAAAACAAAACAAAACAAACAAAAAGCCCCACGCUGCAUGGGCC